GCCGGGCCGGGCCGGGCCGCGCCUCCGCCGCGGCAGCGCUCGGCGCUCCGUGUGGGGCCGCGCUGCCCGCAAACUUGGAGCCUGUGUGUCGACGGUGGCGUUUAGUGCGAUACCAAGCAAUGGGGGUGCAAAUACUACUUAGAUCAAAAGCCAUUUUUGCCCAUGCUGUGGGGCAGGCAGUUCCUGCCCAGGAGGAUUCCUGCAGCAUCUCUGCAUCUCCAGGCUGCUUCAGCUGCAGCUCUUGAGCCUCAUCCUUGCACCUUCCCUAGGUGCUGCAAGAGGAGUGAGGAUUUAUCAGUGAAUUCCCCCUGGAGCAGAAGAUAGAGCUAAUGUAGCCUUUCAGAACCGAAAUCCAGGAUGACAUAUGCAAACAAGCAGCUUCACAGAUACACACAUUCCUGUUUUGUCCUGCAUCCUGAAUGCUGCCAGUCAGGAAUCAAAUGCCAAUUCUGACGCUCUGAAAUUAUUUGAGGAGGGAAAUCCAGCCCACAGUUGUCCCAUUGCUAUGCAAUGUACAGAAGGAAUCAUCUGAUGUAUAUGGUCCGAGUCGACUCUGGGCUGUUUUGCUCCAGCAGACACUCUGACAGCCAUCUUCAUCGGCCAGUAGAUGUCAUUGUGUUUCCACCGCAGAAGCACAUCAAACAUAUUCAUCUGGCUGCAAAUGCCUGUCUGGUCCUGCAAACAAUACUGUUGAGUAUUUAGGAUUUUCUCUACCCUGCAGCAAAAUAUUUGUUAAAAAUUCUUAGCCAGAAAAGAGUGAAAAUUAAGUUCCAAGCAUUUGAUAGCUGUGACUAACUAGCCAGAAUACCCUUGGCUUCAGCUAAUGUAGUGCCAAUGGUGUUAUACAAACACAGCUUACUCAAUAGGACACAAAUCAUUGUUAAUAAACUAUUACAAAAGAUGCCAACAGAAGAAGAUAGAAAUAAUGUCUCAUGGAUUAGCCAGCUUCUUUAGGCAACCAGCUCAUUCUGCUGUGAGGUCAUCUGUUCUUCAAUACUCAGACAGGAUUGAGAAUUUAUACUUCAGAACUUUUUAGACCUUUAGAGUGUAAUGAAGAGAAGCUGUAGUCUGUUAUUUUUCAGUUAUUUUAUUCUGGACUAUGUUAACAGGUUCCAAAUUUUCAUUAUAUAAUAUUUGUGAUGUAAUUAGAAAGUUCCAUUUGAAGUCAAAACUUGGUAGCAAUAAAGAAGGAAACACUUGGCAGUGGUACAAGAGGUAGGGUUUUCCAAAAAGUCUGACAUAUUUUUUAUCAGUAAGAACUCAAGAGAAAUCAUUUAACCAUCAUCUUGCAACAUCCAUGCUGGAAAUAGCACGGAGGGCCAAAUUCCCUGCUGGCAGGAACCCUGAUGGCUCUAACAACACAGGAGACCCUUGACAGAUUCAGCAGAGAACUGGUGUUUUGCAGCGUGUUUUGAGUCCCAGGGGCCAGUGUGAAACUGAGUGAAGUCAAUGGAAAUCUUUUGCUUUUUGGCAAUGGGCUAUGGAUGAAGCCAUGAAUCAGGUUUUCUGCAGGCUGGUGGUGCACAUCUGUCUUGGGGUGAGGCAGCUGAAAGGCAUAGACUUGGAUUUGAAAGGACAAGCUUCAUUUCACUCAGGCUCCACUAGCUCAGGAAUAACUUGAGAUGGCACAAGAGAAACUGUUCCUCCCUUAGAGUGGCUCAUCCUCUUGCUUGAUCAUGGAAACAUCUAAAACUCUUCCUGGACUGGGAGACUUCUGAGAUAUUCAGGCAGAUUAAAACUCUCCUGGAAAUCUCUGAAGGUGCUGCUGAUUUCAACUAAAAAACAGGUAUUUUCAAUUUUGACAAAAUAUUUUUAUUUUACUAGGAAUAGAUCAUUAGGCUAUCAUUUAUGUAAAAUAUGCUCACCAAAGUAGUAAAGAAAGUGGAAAAUCAUUAUUCACAUUAUGGUAGGAUGGGGAUCUGUUUUAAAAUUUUUCUAUUAAAAUUUUGAUUUCUUCAAGAAUGUCUUUUUUUACCCCCUUGUAUGAGCAGGAUUUCACUCAAAGAAAUCCUCCAACAUCUUAUGUACAUUUUAAAAGUAUGUCCAUUGCUGUGUCAAAUGUGUCUCACUGGAAAAAGCUACUGACUUUUCCAUUCUAUUUCUUUAAUUUUACUACUCUUGUGUGUUGGAAUACUCCAGGUAGGUGCUGUGUAUGCUUUUGAUUAUGCUGUGUUACACAGCAGGGAAACCUCUUAUCUCAGACUGGUUGCCUGGUUGAGGGAAAAAAAAACACAUUUAAGGUUGUAAACACAGCUGUGGAAGAAAUAUUUUCUAUUUCCUUGAUGUUUGUUUUAAUGUACUAAAAAGACAUAAUUACAGGAGUUUGCAAAAAUACCAAAGUGUAAAACACAAUAGUAGGUUGGUUAUGUGUUUCUAUUAUAUGUCUAUAUGUCUUCAGAUGUAGCUUUAAACAGUCCAAGAAAAUCUUUAGAAAUGUCUUCUCUACUUUACACUCUGAUUUGCCCUCAUAAAUAAAGUACAGAAUUUUCAGAAAAAAAAAAAAUUUAAAGUAAUCUCAUAGCUACACUGGUAUUAAGAAGUGUUCAAAUCUUGUUCUUACUAUUUUUCAUGCCAGCUUGAAGAUUUGUGUUUCUAUUGUUUCCUUUUUGACUCUGUGCAAAUACUUUAAAGAUAGGAAAUUUGCAGAUCUGUGGAAAAAAGAAAAAGAAUAGAGGUUUUGUAAAUCUAACCACUGCAACUUCAUUUGAAGAAAAUGAAAUCUGAACUCUGAAAGAGGACAAUGCCUUUUUUUUCUUCAGCUUGCAAAGAAGUAGAGUAAUGCAAUCCCUUUUAUUUCCUAUUUAAAUAAAGGCAGAAGCGUUUUCAUCUGUGGCGUGUAAAGUCUGCUCUGCAAAGAAUAAGUUCAGAGCACACACAUUGUAAGUAUUUGCCAAGAGCACUGGGUUUAUAUUGGUUGAGUAAACAGCACUAUAAUAUUACAAUUAUAAAAACAAAAUGUGCAGAAAAAUGUGAUUCUCACUCUUUUGUUAACACUCUAUUAGCUCCUGAAGUCCUAGUGAGAAAAGAUUAAAUGUGAAGCCCUCAGUAAAGAGCUCUGCUCCAUUCAAGCUGCAACACCACCAAUUACUUCACCGAAAAAAGAACUAGACUUGAUAGAGAACUUCAGUCCAAAUCCUGUUCACGAACACCUGAAGCCAUCUCCCCUGAAGUCCUAUGUAAAAUAACAUUAAUGACAUCCUGGUCACUUCAGUCUAUGGAAGAUUUCACCUUUUAUAUCACAGUGUAAAAGCAAACAAAGGGCUGCAUACAGUUCUUUUGACUGUGGCUGGAAAGACUCACACUGGCAGCAGUGCGCAUUUGGAUGACACUGUACCAUCCUUUCACUCCACCCACAACUAUUAUUUCGUUGCCCAGAAUUGUUGUAAUAUGACUGCUUCCCUUCAUAAUCUCUGCAUUUUAUCUAGCUUCUUUUCCAAAGCCAGAGAGGAUAAUUGUCAUCUUUUGUAUAACACAGCAGAAAGGCUGAGGACAGGCUUAAGGGCAAUGGCUUUCUCAGUCUAUCCCUACCUUGUCUAGACUGCAAGUUCACUGAGGCAGAGAGCAACAGCAAGCAUGACAAGGUUUUCUCAGCUGCCUAAAUACAGUAACAGUGCCAGAGGAAGAAAAGAUUUUGUGUCCAUCCUAUCACAAUGGAGUCCUCCAGCAAAAUGGGAUGGAGAGAGGACAGCUGAGAGCCAAGCACAAGAGAUGAAAUGAGUAGGGUAAGGCAGAAUCUACAGCUUUGAGGUUCCAGGUAUUGAACCUGGAGAGGAAACAUAGGCACACAAAGCUUCCAUCCCACUGAAGCCAGUGGAAACCCUUUCCCUUGGUUUAGCAGGACAUGGAUCAUGGUGGUGGUUUGUGCCAGGUGGGUUCCCUGUGGAGAUCAGGGGAAAAGGAAGAUGAGGCCAUGCACACUGUGUUGGAAAGGGCUGUAGGGUUAACUGCUGUUCUUUCACGUGAUGAAAAGUCCUAAAGCCAGGCAUCAUCACACACACACCAUUUCUAAUGCAGAAUCAUUCUGAAAUCAGGGUGAUGCGAUGUUGUUUGGCAGCAUGGGAGGAAAAAAGUGGAACUUUUUAUGAAACUGACAAAAAGAUCUGAAGCCCAGAAGGGAACACAGCAAUCAUUUGCUCUGAUUUCCUGUACAGCAUAAGCCAUACAACCUUGUUUGGUCAUGUCUCCAUCAUUCUUUCUUCUGCUUGAUCCAAAGAUCUCACUUGGAAAAGGAGGCGUCUUCAUGAAAAAGUAUGAGUCAUGCAGAAGCAACCAUAACCUUUUGGACUUCUUUUCAAAAAUUAAUUUAUGCUCUUUGAAAGAAAGAAAAAUUGUAAAACAUGUAUUAUUUCUAAUCCAAAUGCAUUUUCACUUAAAUAUCUUUAAUGAAAAUUCUUUUCCUUCUGUAGGUAUCCACCCAGGUGAUACUUUUCCUCAAAAUAUGUGCUUGCAUAUUCAAAAUCUGUCUCUGAAGAAAACCACCUUAUUUCUCAUUCCCAAACCAAGGCACUUUCUUAAAAAUACAAGAAUGAGCAGGCUUGUAGAAGCCCAAAUUAUACAGCCCCAAGAGCUAUUUUUCAGUCACUGACUAGAGAACAUUGUGAUAAAGAAAUCUUAGCUGAAGAAGAAAAUAACCUCCAUUUUUCCAAUAAAUUAAGAUCUUCACAGGAAUGUAAAAUGAAUCUUAAAGCGGAGCAUCUUGAUGUUUCUUGCAGCAGGCCCUCUUUCAAGGACAAAGAUGUAAUUCAAAGAUGAAAAAAUGAAUACCAGAAAAAGAAAAGUCUUUUCCUCCAUGCUUAUAAAUAUGGUGGUGACCUUACAGAGCCCCUUGAAGAGACAGCACUGACAACACAGCCAGUGACAUCCAACUUCCCUGCAGGGCUGCUGGCAGCUGCAGACUGGAUUGUGAAAGAUGAAAGAGAAGAAGGUCCCCCUGUACCACAUAGGGAACUUUUAGGAGACCAAAUUUGAAUUAUGGUAGUGUAUGUUUCAGUGAAGAACAUAAAACCUAAGGCAGGAGAUGGGAUGAAAUUAAAUAAAAUAAUGUUACCCUGAAUUUACAUGGGGAAAGCCAAGCAUAUACUUACUUUAGAAGUAUUAUUAAAAAGGCAAAGCUAUAGCUGAAGAUCUGAGCACAACAUGGGUUUUAUGACAGAUGCAUGUUAUUAAGUCAUUUCCUAGAUCUAUUUCACUGCUAUCAAUAUCUACUAUUGGUGAGUACAUAUUGAUAAACUUAAUAGGUAAGGCCAGGCAAACCAUGUAAGGCAUAAGUAAUAGGGACAGAACCAUAUGACAAGACAUGUGCAUUUGCCAUUUUAAUCUUUAACCUGCAAGGUGUCCUUGUCCCUUGUUCAGUGUCCCUUCUCAUAUUCACUGCUCCUGCCGUUUAAUUGCUGUUGUUAAUUUCUUCAUGGAUUUGUGUAUGGUCUAACACUGCCUGACUUGAGCUGAUUGCACAGACAUUAGCUAAGCAGGAGUUUUCGAGAUUUUUUUCUAAGGCUGCCAUCAUCUGCAAAUCCUUCAAGGUCUAAAUUAUAAAAGUUUGGCUGACCUCUGUAGGAAAACAACAUAUUAGAUCAUUAUAAAAAGAGCAAAAGGAAAAUUGCAAGCUUAAUUCCUGAGACUUGUAAGUUAAAAUCCACAAGGGCCCGGAGGCAGCCUUCCCUGAGCCCCUCAGCCAGCAGCCCUACCCUGCCCUGCCCCGCUGAAAGCACACCAAAGGGCCUGAAGAGCUGUGCCUCGAAUUCUUUGAGCAGUCAUCUUUUAACAGGGAUGUCAGAGGUGUAGGAAAGCAUUCCUGUGGCAUUGGGAUGCAAAGGGAUUUAUCUCCCAUCUGAAGUCCUGCAGAGAGGCAGCAACAACCCUGCUCCUGUCUGAGAGGCUGACAAGUGAGUUACAGCUGAAGGAGAUGUGACAGGCGAGAGAGAAUAAGCAGAGUGAAUGCCUGUGCUGGAGAUGAAUCAACCCUCUUCCUCGAGGAGCAACUGCCUUUGGCUACCCAGAGCUAAAAGCUACAGUAAUAAAUUUUAAGGCCUGAAAAGAUCAUUACAGUCAUCCAGCCCAGCUGCCCACUCAUCCAGGAUGCUGAAUUUCCUGAAGUCGUUCAUGCCUGCCCCUCCUGCUGCCACAGCUGAGGUCCUUUCCUCCUCUGCUCUUGGAGGCCCUUCCCAGUAUGUCACUGCCAUCACUGUCUGCCGUGCCAGAUGUCUGCUGUGCCCUCCCUGUGGCACCGCCUCUGGGCAGCAAGAGCAGCUAGAGCAAAUAUUUUAUGUAGUGUUUCUGGCAAAGAGAGGUUUUUCAUUCAGCUCUCCAGUGGUGCUGGCUCAUGCUCUGCAUCAGAGCUGCAGCUCCAGCAGCAGCUCAGCCCAGGCAGCUCCAGAUCCAUGCUCAAACAUCUGUUAUGGAAACUCCAGGCAACUGCACAAGGAGCCUUGAUUCUGCAGCUCUCACUGCUGACCCAAACUGCAGAUCUAGAGAGGGCUUCACCUGGCUUGUGUCUUGACUUUCUUUGAAACCACUGGGCCUCACAUCAGUUGAAGCACCUACAGUUCUUGGAAUAACAACGUCCAUCUACCUGAGGAGCAGGCAGGUAGAAGAACAACUCCGUUGGGAGAAGUUGGGGUUUCUGAUGAUGGUUCUCUGCUGGCCUCCAUGGCCUUAGAAAGAGGCCAGUGUUACAUUGCAAUGGAAGCAUAUGGGCUGGAAAUGGGAAAAAAAGGACUAGGAAAGACUUUUCCUGAAACAUCUUGCCCAGCCCAGGGCACAUCUCCAUAUUUGUUGAGAUGGCUCACAUCCAUGUAGAGCAAUGAAUGGAAAAAUAAUGUGAGUUCCCCAUCUGCUCCAUAAGCUUAUGUGGACAGAGCUCCAAAACAUAAAAAAUGGUUGAGUUCACUAAAUAUUUCUCUUUCUGGAGGAGCAGGUCAUGACUCAGCUGGGACUGUGAGGCAAUGCCCUGCCUUGGGAAGGUUGUGAUGCAUCAAGAAACAGCUCAGCAACCCCUCAGCAACCCUGGAAGGCAUGCCCUGAGAAAGGAGGGAAGAGGGCAUGCAGGCAGGAAUCUUUUAACGUCAUCUUGUCCCCUGCAUUUUGCUCAGCCUGCUGCAGCUGACCUUAAAAGGAAGCCCUAUCUCCCCUCUUCACUCACGCUGGUGCAGUUUGGGGGAAAUAGGUGCAAGUGUACUCUUCUUCUGUCAGAUCCUUGGCAACUGAAAGAGACAGUAACAGGUUGCCCUAAAAAGCAAAUUCUAAUUCCUAACAUUGUAUGUCGUGGUUUUUAUGUGCUGUGCAAUUUACAGGCUGGACAAGCGAGGCCAGCAGAGCCUAGUCUGUGGCCAAGCCUGGCAGUGAAUCCAUCAGCCAUGGAAAUGCCAAAGUGACAGGUUCACUUCAUUAGCUGGAGGCCCAGUGAUUCUUGGGCAUAAGAAACUGGAAGAGAAAAGCUGUUCCGGGGAUGGGAAAUUACCCUUUUGGAUGGAUGGCCCUUUUGGAUGGAGGACUAAAACAGUGCCUGCACCAGCGUUUGAGGGACCACGCAGGCUUUGAUCCCAAGUUCACAUGUGCAUCCUUCCAUAAAGACAAAUGGUGACCUUCACGUGAGCACAGAUAUCCUUUCCUUUAGGAGUGACUUCAGUUCUCCAAAGCAGAGCAUGUCAUGCCUACGUGGAGACAUGCUCAUUUUCCUCUCCCUGAACCAGCUGUGCCCAAUGCCAAAGGCUCUUCAGAAAGCUACUGAAAUGUGACCAAAAAGUCUUAGAUGCAAGUUAGACCUUCCUUGAGUUUUCCAUCAGGUUUAUUUCUCCUUCCCUGCUUGCAAUUGCUGCUUUCCAAAAUCCUUUCCUGCAUUUCUCCCUUUCUUGCUGUCUUGUGAACAUUCUUCUGGGCAGUUCACUAGCCCUCUCCACUGGAUCCUCAAUAGCUUUUGCCCAUACUGAACAUUUCAAGCAUUUUUACUUUGCAGCAGAUUUUUUUUUUGCCUUGGGUGAGAAUACAAGGACUUUCAGUCCCUUUGCCUUUCCAUUCUGAAAACAUCCCCCGUAGGUAAACAAAUCCUAAGCCUAAGAUGAGGAAAGUCCUCAGUUGCAGAAGUUGUUGAAUGGCAAUCACCAUUUUCUGAUGCUGUAAAACAAGAGUUAAUCUGUGUUUCCACUGCGGAGGGCUGUUUGGGGCUUUUUUUUUUUUAAGGAAGGGAAAAAAUUUCCUUUCAUUCUUUGCCAGCAAUUUCCAUGCAAAUAAAGUUUCCCAGCAAAAACUCGGUGCCCAAGAGAGAAUAUUUUAUCCAGAAAGUGAAAGAUUUUCUGCGAACAAUUGCAAGAUUUUAUCCAAAACUCUGAGAGGCUCAUCCGAAAUAUUUCUCUCGUUGGCCGGAAACAAAGCGCUGCAGAGCGAGAGGGGACGGAGGG